rnacentral:rRNA from 1 species
AUGCACCAGGCUCUUGAAGAACCCAUUGCUCAAAAUCUGCAUGCAUCGGGAUGGAAUAAAGAGAAGUAUUAUAUCUCAGCUUGUCAAUCCACAAAACAAGGUCAAACAAUUAUAUAUGGAGCACAUGGAAUUACUACUGCUAAUCCACAUUACCUCCAUUAUAUCCCCUACGUUCAUAAUCAAUGCAUUUGGAACGAUGGGCACGUUGUACCAGACGCCGUUUCUCUGAAGCUGGAGCCCCUCAGCAUCGGCGAAGUUGACUGUGAUUAUGGAGCCAUCGGUAUGGGCCUUGAGGCCCAAGACGUGGUCCGGCCUUGGACACUGAGGGUAAUAGUUGAAUAUAGCUUGGGUGAUGGAGUUCUCCCCGAUCAUGUUUACCAGGUGUUCCUCUUGUAA